AUGAAGACUUUUUCAGCACCGCCACUAACUUCCGUGCUGACAGCCAGUGAGGAAGAGCCGAGGGAAGACGGACGGCUUCUGCACGUAUUUGCAGCUAGAGUAUUCAGAGCAAGUGGAUGCUUUGGCCCAAGAGAAAGAGGUUUCCUUCCAGCUGCCUGCUGCGCUGCAAGGGCUGUCAUAUGGGGGUCCCGUGCUGCGCAUUCUCUCUAUGCCUGACGACACCGUAAUCAUGAUCAGAGAAGAUGGAGCGAUUUAUUUCUGGUCCCUGCAGCUGAAGUUGAAAAGAAGAAAGAGAGUUUUUGUAUGUGAUUUUCAUUUGAUAAGGAUGCUGAGUGCUCCAGUUUGAUUUUAUUUGCUAUUUUAAACUGCUCUUCAAGUGGCAUGAUUACAGAAAUUGUGUCCUUGAAUGUAAUAUAUUCAUGUUGCCUUUUGCUAGUCUAUAGAAUGCAAAUAAAAUAUGAUCUCUAUAUGUAGUACAAGAUAAUGCUUCAUUUUGCUCCUCAAAUCAGAUGGAGUAAUGGACUACAUAUGACUCCAUCAUGUAAUUUAUCAUAUGUCUUAAUGAAUGACAAAUGGAAG
rnacentral:lncRNA from 1 species